AACGCACAUUGCGCCCUUUGGUAUUCCGAAGGGCAUGCCUGUUCGAGCGUCAUUAUCAACCCUCAAGCCCGGCUUGUUUGUUGGACCCCGCACCGAUCUUCAACCAUCGGUGGGUCCGAAAGAUAAUGGCAGAGUCGGUCAGACCCUGGAUGCAGCGAGCUUUAUUUUCAGCACGCAUCACGGUGGUCCUCCGGGCUCGGUCUUAACCGGAUAUUCAAUCCACUUCUUAUGGUUGACCUCGGAUCAGGUAGGGAUACCCGCUGAACUUAA
rnacentral:misc_RNA from 1 species